UACGGAGGGAGCUAGCGUUGUUCGGAAUUACUGGGCGUAAAGCGUACGUAGGCGGUUACUCAAGUCAGAGGUGAAAGCCCGGGGCUCAACCCCGGAACUGCCUUUGAAACUAGAUAGCUAGAGUCUUGGAGAGGUUAGUGGAAUUCCGAGUGUAGAGGUGAAAUUCGUAGAUAUUCGGAAGAACACCAGUGGCGAAGGCGACUAACUGGACAAGUACUGACGCUGAGGUACGAAAGCCAGGGAGCAAACGGG
rnacentral:rRNA from 1 species